UCACCUUUCCUUAAUAGCCUACUCGUCUCUUUUUCCAUUUUCUAACAAUAAACAUAAGUCAAACUAGGGACUACUUUGCCUUAUGUAUUUUUCCUACAGUUGACUUUCUUUGACCUAGGGAAGAGCUAAGGUUGGCUCCAAUCCCUGCAUCAAAUAAAGUUUUUCUAUCAUAUUCACCUUUCAUCCUAUUCUUGUAUGAACUCCUUACUGUG